AGUGAACGCUGGCGGUAGGCCUAACACAUGCAAGUGGAACGGCAGCACAGUAAGAGCUUGCUCUUACGGGUGGCGAGUGGCGGACGGGUGAGGAAUACAUCGGAAUCUACUUUUUCGUGGGGGAUAACGUAGGGAAACUUACGCUAAUACCGCAUACGACCUACGGGUGAAAGCAGGGGAUCUUCGGACCUUGCGCGAUUGAAUGAGCCGAUGUCGGAUUAGCUAGUUGGCGGGGUAAAGGCCCACCAAGGCGACGAUCCGUAGCUGGUCUGAGAGGAUGAUCAGCCACACUGGAACUGAGACACGGUCCAGACUCCUACGGGAGGCAGCAGUGGGGAAUAUUGGACAAUGGGCGCAAGCCUGAUCCAGCAAUACCGCGUGGGUGAAGAAGGCCUUCGGGUUGUAAAGCCCUUUUGUUGGGAAAGAAAAGCAGCAGGUUAAUACCCCGCUGUUCUGACGGUACCCAAAGAAUAAGCACCGGCUAACUUCGUG
rnacentral:rRNA from 1 species